rnacentral:rRNA from 1 species
AGAACGAACGCUGGCGGCAUGCCUAACACAUGCAAGUCGAACGCCUGUAGCAAUACAGGAGUGGCGCACGGGUGAGUAACGCGUGGGAACCUACCCUGGAGUGGGGGAUAACCGAGGGAAACUUCGGCUAAUACCCCAUACGACCUGAGGGUGAAAGAUUUAUCGCUCUAGGAGGGGCCCGCGUCGGAUUAGCUAGUUGGUGAGGUAACGGCCCACCAAGGCGAUGAUCCGUAGCUGGUCUGAGAGGAUGAUCAGCCACACUGGGACUGAGACACGGCCCAGACCCCUACGGGAGGCAGCAGUGGGGAAUAUGGACAAUGGGGGCAACCCUGAUCCAGCAAUGCCGCGUGAGUGAUGAAGGCCUUAGGGUUGUAAAGCUCUUUCGGCGGGACGAUGAUGACGGUACCCGCAGAAGAAGCCCCGGCUAACUUCGCGCCAGCAGCCGC